rnacentral:rRNA from 1 species
UACGUAGGGUGCAAGCGUUGUCCGGAAUUAUUGGGCGUAAAGAGCUCGUAGGCGGUCCGUCACGUCGGCUGUGAAAACCCGGGGCUCAACUCCGGGCCUGCAGUCGAUACGGGCGGACUAGAGUACUGCAGGGGAGACUGGAAUUCCUGGUGUAGCGGUGAAAUGCGCAGAUAUCAGGAGGAACACCGGUGGCGAAGGCGGCUUCCUGGACCGACACUGACGCUGAGGCGCGAAAGCUAGGGGAGCAAACGGG